CGGUGGUCCCACCUGACCCCAUGCCGAACUCAGAAGUGAAACGCCGUAGCGCCGAUGGUAGUGUGGGGUCUCCCCAUGCGAGAGUAGGG
rnacentral:rRNA from 3 species